CCCUUAGAUGUUCUGGGCCGCACGCGCGCUACACUGAUGCAUUCAACAAGUUUUACCUUGGCCGAGAGGCCUGGGAAAUCUUUCAAAUAUGUAUCGUGAUAGGGAUAGAUUAUUGCAAUUAUUAAUCUUGGACGAGGAAUUCCUAGUAAAUGCAGAUCAUCAUUCUGCGUUGAUUACGUCCCUGCCCUUUGUACACACCGCCCGUCGCACCUACCGAUUGAAUGAUCCGGUGAAGCCUCGGGAUUGUGCCCAGAGAACUUUAUUGUGAUUUGGGUGUGAGAACUUGUCUAAACCUUAUCAUUUAGAGGAAGGUGAAGUCGUAACA
rnacentral:rRNA from 1 species